rnacentral:lncRNA from 1 species
CCAUGCCAUGCCUCAUUAAACUGGACAUGCAUCAUACUUGUUUGCGCAUCGUGCCAUGCUUAUGUGGUGGUUGUUUACUAUGGUGUUUGCUUUCUUUCUGGUGUACUUCGUCUCGGUAAUCCGGUAACGUCGUGUUGUGAGGAUUCGUUCGACUACGUCCGUUUGUCUUCUUCAUGGACUCAUUCUUCUUCCUUGCGGAAUCUCAGGCAAGAUGACCAUACCCUCGAAAUCACUUCUAUCUUUGCUUGCUAGUUGCUCGCUCUUUUGUUAUGCCUAUGCUGCGAUACCUACCACUUGCUUAUCAUGCCUCCCAUAUUGUUAAACCAAGCCUCUAACCCACCUUGUCCGAGCAAACCGUUGUUUGGCUAUGUUACCGCUUUGCUCAGCCCCUCUUAUAGUGUUGUUAGUUGCAGGUGAAGAUUUGAAGUUUGUUCCUUGUUGGAACAUGGUUAUUUUGUUGGGAUAUCACAAUAUCUCUUAUUUAAUUAAUGCAUCUAUAUACUUGGUAAAGGGUGGAAGGCUCGGCCUUAUGCCUGGUGUUUUGUUCCACUCUUGCCGCCCUAGUUUCUGUCAUAUCGGUGUUAUGUUCCUGGAUUUUGUGUUCCUUACGCGGUUGGGUUAUAAUGGGAACCCCUUGAUAGUUCGCCUUGAAUAAAACUCCUCCAGCAAUGCCCAACCUUGGUUUUACCAUUUGCACUAACAACCUACCACCUUCCCUUGGGUUCUGCAGACUCAACGGUCAUCUUUAUUUUAACCCCCCCGGGCCAGUGCUUCUCUAAGUGUUGGUCCGAACCGAGCUGCCUACGGGGCCACCUCGGGGAAACUUUAUGGUUGGUUUUACUCGUAGCUAGUCUCAUCUGAGUGUGCCCUGAGAACGAGAUAUGUGCAGCUCGUAUCGGGAUUUGUCGGCACAUUCGGGCGGUGUUGCUAGUCUUGUUUUACCAUUGUCGAAAUGUCUUGUAACCUGGAUGCCGAGCCUGGUCGGAUUGUCUUGGGAGAAGGAAUAUCCUUUGUUGACCGUGAGAGCUUGUGAUGGGCUAAGUUGGGACACCCCUGCAGGGAUUUGAACUUUCAAAAGCCGUGCCCGCGGUUAUGGGCAGAUGGGAAUUUGUUAAUGUCUGGUUGUAGAAAACCUGAAGUUGACCUUAAUUAAAAUACAUCAACCGCGUGUGUAACUGUGAUGGUCUCUUUCCGGCGGAGUCCGGGAAGUGAACACGGUGUUGGAGUUAUGCUUGACGUAGGUUGUUCUAGGAUCACUUCUUGAUCAUAGUUGUUCGACCGUGCUUUGCCUUCUCUUCUCGCUCUCAUUUGCGUAUGUUAGCCACCAUAAAUGCUAGUCGCUUGAUGCAGCUCCACCUCAUACCUUUUACCCUUCCAAUAAGCUUAAAUAGUCUUGAUCGCAAAGGUGUGAGAUUGCUGAGUCCCCGUGACUCACAGAUACUUCCAAAACCAGUUUGCAGGUGCCGUUGAGACGUGCAGGUGACGCAACCAAGCUCAAGGAGGAGCUCGAUGAAGACCUUGUCCUUUGUGUUGUUUCGUUCCAGUUGAUCAGUAGUAGAGCCCAGUUGGGGUCGAUCGGGGAUCUAUGUAGCAUUUGGGGUAGUCUUCUUUUAUUUUGGGUUCCGUAGUCGGACCUUGAUUGUAUCUGGUUGAUGUAAUGCUUUAUUCUUGUAUUGUGUGAAGUGGCGAUCGUAAGCCAACUAUGUAUCUCUUUCCCGUAUGUAUUACAUGGGUUGUGUGAAGAUUACCUCACUUGCGACAUUGCUUUCAAUGCGGUUAUGCCUCUAAGUCGUGCUUCGACACGUGGGAGAUAUAGCCGCAUCGAGGGUGUUACAAG